GGCUGACCCAGGGGAGGAUAAUGGUGUCGGUGGAGCCUUUUGUGCUGCUUGGUGGGCUGAAGCGGCUCCUGGGAGGUUCUGCAUCCAUUAUUUAAACAAUAGUGAAACUAAUGCAUUAAUAUGAAUCUUAUAGAAAAAGCAGAUGCCAAGAAGAGCACUCUGGACAACAGAGAAUGAGAAACAGCAUUAAAAUGCAAAACAACCAUCAAUCAAAAUAUUUCCAUUUCUUCCAGAGAGUGUUGAAACUUCUUUUUCCUGAGCAGAUGGAGGGAGACAAUGGAGAGAAUGAUAGGAACAGAGUU